rfam:Gossypium hirsutum cultivar TM-1 chromosome 5, whole genome shotgun sequence
UGUUAAAUUUUUUUUAUCUAUUUUUACUGUUAAAAAUUGACAUGACUAAUGCAAUAAUCAAACAAUGUGACACAUGGCAUGCCGCAUUUACCUCAUACUUACGUAUAUGGACUAGUUUUUAAUAGUUGAAGUGGAUGCAAUUUUUAACA